rnacentral:rRNA from 1 species
ACGACUCUCGGCAACGGAUAUCUCGGCUCUCGCAUCGAUGAAGAACGCAGCGAAAUGCGAUACUUGGUGUGAAUUGCAGAAUCCCGUGAACCAUCGAGUUUUUGAACGCAAGUUGCGCCCAAAGCCUUUCGGCUGAGGGCACGUCUGCCUGGGUGUCACGUAACAU